UGACGGUACCCCAGAAGGAAGCCCCGGCCAACUACGUGCCAGCAGCCGCGGUAAUACGUAGGGGGCAAGCGUUAUCCGGAUUUAUUGGGCGUAAAGGGAACGCAGGCGGUUUUUUAAGUCUGAUGUGAAAGCCUUCGGCUUAACCGGAGAAUAGCAUUGGAAACUGGAAGACUUGAGUGCAGAAGAGGAGAGUGGAACUCCAUGUGUAGCGGUGAAAUGCGUAGAUAUAUGGAAGAACACCAGUGGCGAAAGCGGCUCUCUGGUCUGUAACUGACGCUGAGGUUCGAAAGCGUGGGUAGCAAACAGGAUUAGAUACCCUG
rnacentral:rRNA from 1 species